AUCGAACGCUAGCGGGGUGCUUUACACAUGCAAGUCGAACGAGUGGCGGACGGGUGAGUAAUAUAUUGGAACGUGCCUAGUAUCGGGGGAUAACUAUUCGAAAGAGUGGCUAAUACCGCUUACUAUUGGAGCGGCCGAUAUCGGCUUAGCUAGUUGGUGGGGUAACGGUUCACAAAGGCAACGAUCCGUAGCUGGUUUGAGAGGGCGACCGGCCACACUGGGACUGAGACACGGCCCAGACUCCUACGGGAGUCAGCAGUGGGGAAGUUUGGACAAUGGGGGAAACCCUGAUCCAGCGAUCCCGCGUGUAUGAGAAGGCCUUCGGGUUGUAAAGUACUUUUGGCAGAGAAGCGGUAUCUACAGAAUAAGCACCGGCUAACUACGUGCCAGCAGCCGCGGUAAUUC
rnacentral:rRNA from 1 species